rnacentral:lncRNA from 1 species
GCGUGGCAGUACUCGAGUGUUCAGAUGGUCCUGGAGCUUAGGCUGGGGCUCCAAAGCUUGGAUAUGUCGUCCACGACAACCAAAUCAGAAUCGAGAUAGAUGACUCUGUUGAUGCAAGUUUCGAGGUCAGCGAGGUAAUUUCUGGCGUAAUUUAGCAGUUACUUGAUGGAAGUUGAGAUCAGGUUGCUAACGAUAUUGGGAUCAAAGUAGUAAUUCUAAGAUCGUGAAGCUUAUUAUCCAUGCCAUAGCAACAAUUUGCAUGCAUUGUACAAACUUAAUUUAAAUAUUUGCUUGGUUCACAAAGGCCACCAAAAUUUACUGUAUCCAAGAACCUCAUUUCCAGUUCUAUAUCAAUGAUGAAAGGGUCUACCUUAAUGAAAUUGAGCACAUCCUGAUCAUGGUAUCCCGGAUAGACUUCUUGCAAAGAGUACCAAAAUUUGUAAAACUCUAUUGAUCUAAUAUUGGACUUUACAAAGUUAAACCCGUCAUUGGGUCUAUUCUCUAAAUCAUAUGAGCUACCCAUGAAAAUGAUCGCAUGCUAUCUGGAAAUCUGCAUCAUGGUGAAACUGAGGAAAUGGGUCCCUGAACCACAUGAUAUCGACAUCCUGGAAGAGGAAUAUAAUCACAUCAAUCUAAUGUAUACAUCUUAGAAAUGUAUCUUGCUUUCUAUAUAGAGUAUUUCAAUUCUACUUUUCCUUUUAAAAUUUUUAUCCACCAUGUAAAAAAACUCAUUGUGUGUAUAAUGAAAGAACAGCCAUUAAAAUACUUACUGUGAAUACAAAAUUGUACCCCAUCUCAGGAACAGAACAUAGGAAAUUGUCCUAUUAACUGCGGAAAGGUGGAUUGAACGAGGAAAUUGAGAUUGGAGUCAGAGACAAGGAAAUGGAAGAAGAUGUUCUCAGGGCAAGGGAGUGCUGGAGGAUGAAGUGGACGGCAGCAAUGGAGCCGGCAAUGGAGUUGCGGAGGUACUCGAGGUUGAGGGUUAAGGCAACACGGACAGGGGAACGGUUGCAGACGGUGGUUAGGGUGCAGUUGUUGGGACGGCAUUGCUCUGCAUUUCUAAGUAGCUAGGUAAUUCCAAGAAUUUGGGAUUAGGGUUCAUCUACUUAGGGACUAAUUUGAAUUGUUUUAAAAGACUUGUCUUGUCAGUAAUAAGAGGGUGCUACUUGGCAUCUGCCAUGUUGGCAGUUAAAGGGACACAUCAGCGAAUGUUUGCCAUCUCAGCGAAGGAGAUGACGGAAGAACGAACGUGACCAUGUUGAUCAUAUUUCGGGGACGAAUUCGAUUAAUUUUAUUUUUCGAGGACGAAAAUGGAAAUCGAGGUAUAUUUUAGGGAUGAUUUUGACUAUUAAC